CUAUUGGGGAGAGUAUUUGGUUUGACCAAGUUUUAUAGUAUUUUCGAUUUCUUUCAUCCUGGGGUCAUAGUUUAAAUAUUCAAUUUCAUUAAAAUCCACGGAGACAUUUAUCACAAGAAGUGUAAAUCUGCUGGAACCCCACUCCAAUCCCCACUUAACACACAUAGUUUCUUGACUAAACUUUUUCUUCCCAAUCAUAACAACCUUGGUCUUGUCUAAAUUUAUAUUAAGACCUGAUAAAUAUGCAUAUUUAUCUAGAGUACGGAGAGAUGCAUCCAAAUAUUCUGGUGAUCCAUCAAGUAUAAGAGAAGUAUCAUCUGCAUAUUGUGAAAUGAGAUACUCUGAGUCAUCUAUGGUGAUUCCUUUAAUUUGGUCAUUAUUUCGUAUAUGUAUACCAAGUAUCUCUGCACACAGUAAAAAUAUAUAUGGUGACAGGGGAUCCCCUUGUCGACAGCCUCUCUGAAUGUCAAAAAAUUCUGAGAGAUGGCAAUUUUGAGUGACUGCAGAUUGAAUUUUAGUUUUAUAAGUAAUGAUCCAAUGUUUAAUAGAUGGUCCGAAAUUGAAAAAGUCCAAUACGCUUUUAAUAAAACUCCAAGAAAUUGAGUCAAAAGCCUUUUCAAAAUCAAUAAGGAGGAGAAUACCAGGUAUGUCAUUUCUUCUGUAUACAAUAAAAUAUCAUAAAUUAAUUUAGUAUUUUCACCAAUAUAUCUUCGAGGAAUAAACCCUGUUUGAUAGUUAUUUAUUAAAAGUGACAACAUAGACUUCAAUCGCUCUGCAAUACAGCUAGACCCAAGUUUAUAUAUUGUGUUUAAAAGACUUGUAGGUCUCCAGUUUUUCAUAUAUAUUAUUGGUAUACAAGUGAUUAUUCCCCUUUUUUGAGAUACUGACAUUUCACCCAUAUUAUACCCAUAGUUGAUUGAUUGUAGAACAAAUUUGCCUAAAUCUAUCCAAAAGAAUUUAGAAAACUCACUGGUGUAUCCAUCCGAUCCUGGACUUUUGUUAUUUUUCAUUCUUUUAAUAGCUGCUGUUAAUUCUGAAUAAGAAAUUUUCCCCUCAAGGAUAUCCUUUCUUUCGUUUAUUAACUUUGGAACAUCUAAAUAUGGAAUUUCCUUAUUGAGAUCAACAUUUUCUAUUGUAUCAUUUUUUUAAUAUAAAUCCUUAUAGAAGUUUUUGGCUUCCAUUAAAAUCUGUUCUUGUUUGUUUAUACAAAGACCUUCAUUAUUGACUAGUCUUGGAAUUGUUUUAUUAAAAAAAAUCUUAGUUUCUAAAUUGAGGAAAUAUUUGGAGGAUCUUUCUCCUUCUUCUACCCAUUGCAAUUUUGAACGGACAUAAUGACCACGCAUUUUUCCUUGUCUUAAAAUUUGUAAUUCAGAUUUUUUUUUGGUUGAGAUUUUCAAGAGUUUCUGUGGUUUGUAUAUUUUCUUCUAAUUUUUGAAUUUUUUUUUCUUUCUUUUUAUAUGAUGCAAAGGAAAUUGUUUUACCCCUAAUUUCGGUCAUUAAUGUUUCUAAGAACAGUUGUUCAUUUAUUGUGAAUUGAAUAUCUAAGCAAUCCACUUGAUCUAGUGUGUCUCUGUUGUAUACUAAAGUUGCAUAUUGAUCUUUAACUUGUUUUAUUUUUUCUUUGACAGUUUCAAUAUAUUCUAUAUCAUAAAAUAAACUAUUAUUAGAUUUACAUAAACCCUUCCCAAUAUUGAAAUAAUUUAUUUUAAAGUGUAAAAAUAUUGGUGAUUGAUCGGAUCUAUAGCUGUUUUGAAUUUCUACUUCUUUUAUAUUUUGAUAGAAACUCCGAGAUACAAGAAAAAAAUCGAGCCUAGCUUGCUUCAGAGGAUUAAUUUUUCUCCACGUAUAUCGUUUAUUAUCUGGGUAGAAUUCCCGAAAGGGAUCGAUUGGAUCAUAGGUUUCAAUAAGUUCACAGACUUUUUCUCUUGCUCGUGGAUUAUUUAUAUUUAGGUAGUUGCAAGUACAUGUAUCUAAUGCCUGAUUUUGGACUAAGUUAAAAUCUCCAGUCAGAAUAACUUGUUGAUAGUUAAAAUUUUCGAUUAUUUCAUUGACUCUAUUAUAAAAAGAAGGUGAGUCAUUUUAUGGUCCAUAUAAAUUAACAAGUGUUAUAUUUUUACCUUCAAUUGUAAUGUCAACACCCAGGAAAUUUCCAUUUUCAUCUUUCUAUAUUUUAUUUAUUUUAUAUUCAAGAUUAUUUGCAAAUAAAAUGGUAACUCCUCUUUGAUUGGAGGCAAAAGAAUUAAAAAUACAUUCUCCUCCCCAUUGGUUUCUAAUAAAGGAUUCAUCUUUUUCAGUAAAGUACGUGUCUUGCAGACAGUAAACAUGACAGAGUUUUGAUUUCAAGUAUUCGAACACAUCUCUCCGUUUCUCUCUAGAAUUUAAACCUUGACAGUUGUAUGAGAAAAUUUGUAAUGUAUCCUUAGUCAUUUAAAUAGCUAAGAUAUAGAAUAAACAUUCCAUUUCUUAAUUUCAUUCCCCUGAUUACACGUUGACUCAUACAACUGUCUAUGGAAACACAAAGCUGUAAUAUUGUAUCUGUAUAAACUAGAUGAUGUAUACAUCUACCUUCAUGGAUAAAUAAACCUUGGUAAAACACUGUGCAAACAUAAAAAUCGUAAUAAAUAAAAAAAAGUAAGAGGAACAAAAGUCAAGAUUGUCAUAUAAUGAUAUUUGUAUUGGUGCAACUAAAAAAAAAUAUUGGAUAACCUGUUUCCAAAGAAAAGCGUUAGGGGGGGGCAACAAAUUUAUACCCACUAAACUUAAUUUCAACACUCAAAGGGAGAUAAUCCAAAUCCAAACAUAUUAUCUCCCCUUAAUUGUAGGAUUGCAGAACAUUUGUUUUAGUCAGUAUAGCAACUGUACAUAUGAUUAAUGUGACCUUCUAGGUAGUAUAGAAUGAGACUUAUAGAAUGUGUGAGUUUUGUUUUGUUCAAUAUUUUGCAAUCCAAUAUGUCAUACUGAAGUUCUUUCAGUGUUUAUUCUUAUCAUUUUUCUUAUUUUUAUUGUACUAAUAAACAGGGCAAAUGCAAAUUUACUUUAUAUUUUCUCCUUUCCUCUAUGGUUUACUAUAUAGGCACUACAUAUAUACACGUCUAAACAUGUGACAACUUUAUGACAGACAUUCUCCAUCGGAUAACACGUGGUUAUACAGCUAACACCAUAAUAUAUAUAUGUGGUUCAUAAGUGUUUCUCGUUCCUCGUUUUUUUAUAUAGAUUAGACCGAUGGUUUUCCCGUUUGAAUGGUUUUACACUAGUAAUUUUUUUGGGGCCCUUUAUAGCUUGUUGUUCGGUGUGAGCCAAGGCUCCGUGUUGAAGACCAUACCUUGACCUAUAAUGGUUUACUUUUAUAAAUUGUGACUUGGAUGGAGAGUUGUUUCAUUGGCACUCAUACCACAUCUUCCUAUAUCUAUAUAAUUCGUCUCAAAUUUAGCCUAACAAUGUUAGAUCUUCAAAUUUGCGUUAGCAAAUUUUUGUUCUUUCCUCAGCGGGAUUCGAACCCUUGCGUCUGUGACAUCGUGGCAACACCGCCUGCACCGUGUCCAGCGCCCUAGACCACACGACCACUUAGGCUUUUUAUGUAGCUUUCGGUGGUCGAUGUAAUGCCUUUCCUCGUCGGCUUUAUCUAGGGUUGAGUACAUGAUGUAUAGUGGCAAGUAGAUGGUGUACCUUUCAGAUCAGCUAUUUUGUCUGCCGUAAAGGAUGAUAAUGUUAAUUACCAUAACGCCACAACAAAUUUUAAUUUUAAUAUACACGUCUAAACAUGUGACAACCUAAUGACAGACAUUCUCCAUCGGGUAACACGUGGUUAUACAGGGCUAACACCAUAUAUACAUAUAUAUGCAGUACCUAUAUAUAUACAAGCAAAAACAAAGUUUCAUUCAUUAGACAAAUAACUAUAAGAAGACUGUAAAGUUAAGGGAAUUGUUGCUGCCUUUUGAUUUAAUUUCAUAUGUAUGUCUAAUCAAUCUUUAUAGCUAGAGAUGUGACUAUCAUUAUAUAAAAGUGCAAUUUU